GGCAAAGGUGGAGGGUUAUUUGCUGCUUUGUGAGACAACAAAUGGAAGCUGUCUUCUGCCUUAAGUACUUGGAGGGUGCGGGGGGCUUAGCUCUAUUAUGCCUUUCAGGGACAGAGGGAGAAGUUGGAGCUUGAAAUACUCAGCCUUUGUCCCUUUCUGAGGUACUUACCUUUGGAAAGGAUGAGACUAUAUAUGGCAUAGUUGUCAAAGUACCCACAGAUGGGCCAAUCUGGUCUCAAAUAUAGGCUCAGAUUGGCUGUGUGACCUUGGAUAGGUUCUUUGGGUCUCUGAGCCUUAGUCUCUCCAUUUGUGAAAUGGGGAUGGUAGUAGCACCCAGAAGACAGGGCUGUUGUGAGGAGUCAGGAGUCAGUGCCUGGAAAGCCCACGGCAGGAGCCUGCUGCACAGUUAGUAACCUGUAAAGUCUUCUCUGGUUCUUGGUGUCACACUCAAGUAAUCCCCAUGACAGAGCCCAAACCUGGAACACCACUACCACCUUGUCCUGAGAGUGAUGAGGAUGAGGAUGAGAGGCUGAGAGGCCCACCAGUUAUAGACAUUCAUCACAUCUGAUGGCUCCUCCUGAGACCCUUGGGAUGGAAGUAGUUGGGUGAUCUGGGACACUGAGAACCACCCUUCAGUAUCCACAUACAAUCACCCACUUCACAGAAAUGAUCAUGCGUUUAACAUGCUACCGUGGAGGACUGCACACACAAGUAGGAUGACCUAGAUGAAAUGAAUGGGGACCUAGAUGAAAUGGAUGGGUUCCUAGAGGUACAAAAGCUAUCAAAACUGACUCAAAAAGAAAUUGAAAAUCUGAAUAGACCUAUAACAAGUCAGGAGAUUGAAUCAGUCAGUAAUCAAAUAACUUCCAGCAAAGAACAAUCUAGCACCAGAUGGCUUCACUGGUGAAUUAUACCAAACAUCUAAGGGAGAAUUACACGAGAAUUAAUUCUGAAGGGGAGGGACACUUCCUAACUCAUUCUACAAGGCCAUUGUUACCCGGAUCUUAAAGCUAGAGAACACUGAUUGUAAGCA
rnacentral:lncRNA from 1 species